rnacentral:tRNA from 1 species
GCCGGCUUAGCUCAGUUGGUAGAGCAGUUGCUUUGUAAGCAUCAGGUCGUCCGUUCGAGUCGGACAGCCGGCCCCA